rnacentral:rRNA from 1 species
AUUGAACGCUGGCGGCAUGCCUUACACAUGCAAGUCGAACGGCAGCACGGGAGCAAUCCUGGUGGCGAGUGGCGAACGGGUGAGUAAUAUAUCGGAACGUGCCCGGUCGUGGGGAUAACGUAGCGAAAGCUACGCUAAUACCGCAUACGAUCUACGGAUGAAAGCGGGGGAUCGCAAGACCUCGCGCGAUUGGAGCGGCCGAUAUCAGAUUAGGUAGUUGGUGAGGUAAAGGCUCACCAAGCCGACGAUCUGUAGCUGGUCUGAGAGGACGACCAGCCACACUGGGACUGAGACACGGCCCAGACUCCUACGGGAGGCAGCAGUGGGGAAUUUUUGGACAAUGGGCGCAAGCCUGAUCCAGCAAUGCCGCGUGCAGGAUGAAGGCCUUCGGGUUGUAACUAGCUUUUG